rnacentral:rRNA from 1 species
UACGUAGGGUGCGAGCGUUAAUCGGAAUUACUGGGCGUAAAGUGUGCGCAGGCGGCCGCGCAAGUCGAGUGUGAAAGCCCCGAGCUUAACUUGGGAAUUGCGCUCGAAACUACGUGGCUGGAGUGUGGCAGAGGAAGGUGGAAUUCCACGUGUAGCGGUGAAAUGCGUAGAGAUGUGGAGGAACACCAAUGGCGGAGUCAGCCUUCUGGGCCAACACUGACGCCCAUGCACGAAAGCGUGGGGAGCAAACAGG